rnacentral:rRNA from 1 species
GACGAACGCUGGCGGCGUGCCUAAUACAUGCAAGUAGAACGCUGAAGAGAGGAGCUUACUCUUCUUGGAUGAGUUGCGAACGGGUGAGUAACGCGUAGGUAACCUGCCUUGUAGCGGGGGAUAACUAUUGGAAACGAUAGCUAAUACCGCAUAACAAUGGAUGACACAUGUCAUUUAUUUGAAAGGGGCAAUUGCUCCACUACAAGAUGGACCUGCGUUGUAUUAGCUAGUAGGUGAGGUAAUGGCUCACCUAGGCGACGAUACAUAGCCGACCUGAGAGGGUGAUCGGCCACACUGGGACUGAGACACGGCCCAGACUCCUACGGGAGGCAGCAGUAGGGAAUCUUCGGCAAUGGGGGCAACCCUGACCGAGCAACGCCGCGUGAGUGAAGAAGGUUUUCGGGUCGUAAAGCUCUGUUGUAAGUCAAGAACGGGUGUGAGAGUGGAAAGUUCACACUGUGACGGUAGCUUACCAGAAAGGGACGGCUAACUACGUG